AGCGGAAGUACAACUUACACACAUGUAUGAAGAGUGCGGGAACAACAUGCACCAUAUUUGAUGUUAUAUUCUUGGAAUCAAAGUAAGGUUAAGGAUGACCAUGUUGAUACCAUGUCACCAGAUAUAAGAUAAGCUGAAAACCAACCAACACCAGGAUCACCUGUCCAUGUCUAUUCUGUUCCUCUGGUAAAAAAGGUUGAAGUGCUAAGGGAGCGGUCAAGAAAUAAACCAGACAUUGUGAAAGGGCAGCACGCUGCGCAGACACUAUGUCUCCUGCAGUUGAGAAGACACGUUCACUGGGUACAGAGGUACCCUGAAUUGCCAGAUAUGAUCUGGCAAGUCUGGAGAGAAUAGGAUAAUUAUCCUGAUUCUCUCUCCACCAUGCCAGUGGGUUGUCCUUAAGUUGGAUUCCUUGUGAGGCUCUGUAUUUAUGGAUCUCAUUCUCAGCCCUGGUUCUAAUUGGCUUCCCAGGUUCAACAUUUACAACCAUUAUAUCCCCAAACAGAUCUUCCAUGGCAGACUUCAGCUUUUUCCUUUUAGGACUAGAUUCAACUGAUUCAUCUGAAUCAGGAGAACCUGAAAAAGAAUUGAAAAGCUAUAAACAUACAUGUAAAAAAUUAAAAUAAACAAUUAACAUUUAAGCAAUUUAUAGGUAUUUACAUGUAAAGUUAUAAACUUUAAAUGUGUAUUAUUAUAUUAGUGUUAUAGACUUACAGUGUUUUGCAGGGGUAAUACUGAACUAUUUUGGGUCAAUGAAAAAGUUUUAUUUGGUAAGGUCACUAAGAUGAGUGUGCAAAUGAACAAUAAAAUUAUGACCAAAUUUAUUAAA